UGGGGAAUAUUGGACAAUGGGCGAAAGCCUGAUCCAGCCAUGCCGCGUGUGUGAAGAAGGUCUUCGGAUUGUAAAGCACUUUAGGUCACGAGGAAGGGGUUUUGGUGAAUAGCCGGAACCAUUGACGUUAGUGGCAGAAUAAGCACCGGCUAACUCUGUGCCAGCAGCCGCGGUAAUACAGAGGGUGCAAGCGUUAAUCGGAAUUACUGGGCGUAAAGCGCACGUAGGCGGUUUUUUAAGUCAGAUGUGAAAGCCCCGGGCUCAACCUGGGAAUUGCAUUUGAAACUGGAAAACUAGAGUGUGUGAGAGGGGGGUAGAAUUCCAAGUGUAGCGGUGAAAUGCGUAGAGAUUUGGAGGAAUACCAGUGGCGAAGGCGGCCCCCUGGCACAACACUGACGCUCAGGUGCGAAAGCGUGGGGAGCAAACAGGAUUAGAUACCCCCGUAGUCCCUGAGCGGGCUGGCAAG
rnacentral:rRNA from 1 species